CAUACAGGACCUGGGAUUGGGAGGCUGCAUUAAGUAGCUGUUAAAGCCUUCCCCAACUCUUCCUUCGUGUAUGAACAAGUUUAUCCCGUGUCCUGUGUUUGUACUGCAACGUUUGACAUAUUAAUAAAGUUCUGGAUCUAAAUCUCGUAUAGUUUUUUACAUUGCUUUAAUAUGUUAUGAAUAUGAUGUACAUCAGAAGUUCAGUAUCUGACGUUUUUCGUUUAUUCUUAAGUUUGAGAUUCGCUUAAUUUUAGCAUCAAGAGGAAGUUGGGGAGACAUAGCUCUUUGUCUCGACUUUCUUUCGCCAGUUCAUGUCUGCCAAAGCAAAUCUCUUCAUGUGAGGAUGUUAAAAAUUAAUAAGGCACUUUGAAAAAAAAAAAGGGUGUUAUUCUAAUCAGCAUACUUUGUGAGGAUGGUAAAAAUGAUUCAAUCAACGGCACAAAUCAAGAAUAAUCUUGUUGUUUGUGUAAGCUAAUCUGGAUACCAUAUUAAUCUUAAAAAACAAGAAUAACCUUGUUUCAAACAUUCUUACCCUAUUUUUCGCAAGAAAAUGAGCAGGGAUAUAAAUAAAAGAAAAAAGAAAAAAGAAAAAAAAAACCCUUUUUCUUAAUGAAUUUUCUCUAUUUUGCUUCCCAUUUGUUUCACCAUUGUAACUCCAUAAUAAAUAAGCACAGUUAUGAAACGGGUCUUAAGAAUUCAAACCUAAUUUAAAGCUUGGAUUAUGAAUUUAUUUGAUCAAUCUCGAUUACGUUUUAUUUUUUAAUAAAACAACUUGAUUGUAGA
rnacentral:lncRNA from 1 species